UAAAGAAAAUUAUUCCACCUCCCAUAAAAUCUGCUUUGCUCCAGCAAGGAUUUAUUCAUCAAAAAGCUUCCAGGACCAGUGAGAGCCUGUGAGCAAAAGACGCCUGGAGAAAAUGUGUUUGAAUUCUGCAGCCCUGCAUUGUGAGGAGAUGAACAGCAUGAGAGAAUAGAGCAGAAACCAGUGAACCUGAGGGACUUCAAUGAAACUGAACAUGGGCACCAGAUCUGUGAAGAUGGCUGGAAAUGGUCCGUGGAGAAUUCCAAGGCAGGCAGCUUUGAACUGGAUAUGAAAUAAAUGGGAAAGCAAGUGCAAGUGGCUGCCAGUGGGGCUGUGAUAAGGCAAUGUGCAAACACUUCCUCUGAUAGCCCUGGAAUUAGCUGCAAUUAAGUGUGAUUUUGAUAAGGAACACAUGGAAUUUCCAGUUCAUCGCCAUGAGCAACGCUUGUGCAAAAUUCCUGCAGCGAACUGUGAGUCUCUGCAGGCUCUUCCUGAGGCUGGCUCUGUCUACAAAGCCUGUGGAAAUUCCAAAUUUCCAAAAACUGGAAGAAAUUGGGGCACACUGGAGUGAAAUAUUUGCUAAAUUGGAGUUUAAUGAGAAACUGGAAAUGGAGGAGGCAUCAAAACCUGUGUGAGAAACAGAAAGAAGAAAUGUGGAGGGCUGCAGACUGGAGCAUGGAGUGUCCCAGUCCAUCACCUCUCUCAGGUGGAUGCUGUUUGCAGGGAAAUCCCUGAGCUCACCAAGGUCUAUUUUGUUUU